rnacentral:lncRNA from 1 species
CAGAUGAGACUACAUCUGACAGGUGAUGAGAUAGAUCAUGUUGGUUGGAGCACCUAGGUUGAGAGGUCCACACGAGGCUCAAUUGUUUCUAAAUGGGUCCUUGGUUCCAGUAGAAGGGUUUUAGUCCUGUGUCUGAAGGCCCCAGGACUUUUCUUGGGAUGGUAACGAUAGUCUCUAUACACUGGCCUGAAAAUGAUCUCGGGAACACUCGUUACCAGUUUUUAUUUGUACCAUACCCCACAUACACAGCACUGAACACAAUUUUCUUGCCCUGAUGUAUGAAAUGUUAAUCAUCUGAAUUGCUGGAACAAAUUAUCUGAAGUGAAAUCUGAUCUUGUCAUUCUCUGAUUUAAAAUUUUUCUUUCACAUGCUGAAGUCUGUGGAAAUUAGAACUCUUUAGCAUGCCAGUCUACGAUAUGACCUCCUCUUCUUCCCACUCAUCUGGGCUUUGGCCUCUCAUCUUCUCACUUCUCACCAAUUUUUCAAUGUUUUAAAUACGUGAAGCUGCUGCCUUGAUGAUUGCCAUACUUUUGCACAUGCUGUUGUCACUGCCUGCAGCACCUUUUCUCAAACUUUCCCUGCUGAAUCAGAAGCAGGAUUCUUCCUGGAAAUCCAGGUUUGUUAGGUAACCCUCACAUGGUUUCCACAGGAGCCUGUGUGUACCCAAACUGAAAUACCUAUCACUUAUUUCAUUGUCUCCCACGAGGCUGAACUCCCAUGGGAGUAAGGAAGUGGGCCCGGCAUAAUCGUGUUCCAAGUAAACAUCUUUUUGAUGAAUGGAUGACUCUUACUCACCAUUUCCGGUAACAGUAAUAACAGUGGAAUACAUC